CCUACGGGCGGCACCAGUGGGGAAUAUUGGACAAUGGGCGAAAGCCUGAUCCAGCAAUGCCGCGUGUGUGAAGAAGGUCUUCGGAUUGUAAAGCACUUUCGACAGGGACGAUGAUGACGGUACCCGUAGAAGAAGCCCCGGCUAACUUCGUGCCAGCAGCUGCGGUAAUACGAAGGGGGCUAGCGUUGCUCGGAAUGACUGGGCGUAAAGGGCGCGUAGGCGGUUUAUGCAGUCAGAUGUGAAAUCCCCGGGCUUAACCUGGGAACUGCAUUUGAGACGCAUAGACUAGAGGUCGAGAGAGGGUUGUGGAAUUCCCAGUGUAGAGGUGAAAUUCGUAGAUAUUGGGAAGAGCACCGGUGGCGAAGGCGGCAACCUGGCUCGAUACUGACGCUGAGGCGCGAAAGCGUGGGGAGCAAACAGGAUUAGAUACCCUGGUAGUC
rnacentral:rRNA from 1 species